rnacentral:miRNA from 1 species
GCCCAUCAAGAAUGUGCAUGUGUGUAUAGUUGCGUGCAUAUUCACUUCUCUAUAUGAAUAUGCAUAUACACACAAGCACACACAGGAAUGGCCAGAGCUAUGUCUCAGUUAGGAU